CAGUAGCCGCGGGAAUACGAAGGGGGCUAGCGUUGCUCGGAAUUACUGGGCGUAAAGGGAGCGUAGGCGGGUCGUUUAGUCAGAGGUGAAAUCCCGGGGCUCAACCUCGGAACUGCCUUUGAUACUGGCGACCUUGAGUAUGGGAGAGGUGAGUGGAACUCCGAGUGUAGAGGUGAAAUUCGUAGAUAUUCGGAAGAACACCAGUGGCGAAAGCGACUCACUGGCCCAUUACUGACGCUGAGGCUCGAAAGCGUGGGGAGCAAACAGGAUAAGAGACCCCGGUAGUCCCUGUCUCUUAUAC
rnacentral:rRNA from 1 species